CUUUCGGGAGAGGCACAACUACCGACUAGGAUUCAUAGUUUAAUUGUCGGUGCCAACUUUUUUUGUUUUGUUUUUAAUUCAUCGCCUUUGAAAAGUCCUCCAGUUGCUUCGGUGGAAAAGGAGAGAGAACAGUAGGAAAGUGAAUAAACAACUUGGGGUCCUCACGCUUUACUCUUACACUGUUCAAAAAGCCCUUCUAGGCCCCAAAGAAGAAAGGUGGCCUAUGAAGCUACGCCCCCCCCCCAAUUGCUCAUCUCCCCCAAAAUGGAGACGUUACUGACAUUUUUAUUGCCGGGGGAGGAGUUAUUGUAAGAUUCAAAAUAUCUAGGCCGCAAAACGAACACUUCUCCAUUGCUUUCAACCCACUAAUUCAGCCUCGGUUUCUUUCCCCUCAACGGUACUACAAAAAUCCGCACGGGCGCUACAUAGCACCAUCUAGCGGUCCCCCGGAGUUUGGCAGAGCAGAUCUGCUAAUUCUAAUCCACAACGAGUUGUGUUUUCCCGACACAGACCACAAAGUAACCAACUACUGUCCUUUUAAUUUUGGAUAGCGUAGUUACCCAGUUCUGUGGUUAGUUUGGGGUUUAGUGUGUCGCGGACCUCAGAAAACUGGAUCACGACAGUAAGCCACCGUUAUGCAGCCACUGGUAGCCCUCUUCCCAAUAGAGCUCAAGGACUAUCCCGUGGACCGGCCGCAGUAUGUUAUGGCUAUGGAAAAACAAACAACUUAAGACGGACCAUCCAGCUGCACGACUGCCACAUACAAAAUGCAACGCACGCAGUGUAUGGCAGCAGAGCCGUGCGACCCAUAACAGACGUAAUCUGCAGCGGAUUGGUUCUGAAAAUUUAAGAUUUACACGCUAAAUGCUUGACUGACGGGGCGUCUUACCGCAUAUGACUUUUUAAAUUUGUUUUAAAUCGAUCUUGGAGUUUGGCCUUUUAUAAGCCGCUCUAGUAGGCGGGGCUGAAAUGCGACGAGCUUAUUGGAGAGGGAGGCGGGGCUUCUAGAAUCUUGUGUAUCAACCCGCCGAGCGCGGGAAGGGAGGAUAGAAAGAAAUGAAUGGGGAUCAGGGAUGGGUGAGACUUGAAUGCCUGCAGUUGGCUUGCGCGGAAGUCAGGCGUUCUGUACUCUUCUUAAACGUACUGCGGUGGAAAUGCAAAUCGUUCCGUUUACCUCCUCGAGAUGCUCUCGAACGUCUCCAUAACACUUCUUAGGUCACAGGCAUGAAGAUGCUACAAGCCGGCAGCAAUUGUGAAGAAGAUCCUCCUGCUCUUCUGAAGGAGCCCCAAAUCUUCAUCCAAGAUUAGCAUAGCUGAUGUAUCACAGAUCAGGUGCAGAGGAAGGCAGUGGGGUGAAGCAGGAGGGAGUGUUUGAGAGCAAGCAAGCUCCAUCCUCAGCUGGUGAUGCAAGGGAAUGGCAACGAUGGCAGCUAAUGACAGUGGCCAGUAGCACUUGCAGAGGCAUCAAUGGGGAAGGCAUGUAAAAAAAAAAAAAUCACAGCCACCAUCUUGACUUUUUUGACACACACUCGGAUACUUUUCUGCACGUUGUCCAAACAUAGCUAGUGGUUUGGCUUUUGAAUCCUUUGGAGGCAGAAACAUUAGAACAACUGAAGGAAAUGAACAUGAAGAUUACUUCAUUUGAAAUGCUGUGCUCUAGGGAAUGCCCUGUAUGGAAUAGCCUGACACACACACACAAACACACAGGCUCUUGUUCUUCACUCAAGCCUUCCUAAAAUUGUUUGAUAUGUGUGUCAUGCACAUAUUCUUCCCUGCCCUCUACUGGGCGGAAUAGUGAGACAAGCUCCAAGGCGGAAGCAUUUUGCAAAACCGGGCAAACAUGUCCUGACUGAGAGGGUGUCACAUUCAGUUCAGGUUCUCAUUAGGGAAAGCUCUUAUUCUUUCGUUAAACUGGUAUCCUGAGUUUCUUCCAGGAAUUCUGGACAGUUUGCAUAACACUUCCUUUUUCCUCACAACAAUCCUGUGAGGUAGGUUGGGCUGAGAGAAAGUUUGCCAAUAAGUUUCCAUGACGGAGGUGGACUUAGUCUAAGACCAAGGUCAGCAUUUUAGCCACACUCCCAUUCAUUUCUGGGGUCUGCUGAAGGAUGAAUCAGACCUUCCCAAACUUAGAUCCCUGAGAACAGCUGCUGGCUUCAGUGAGCUGGGAAUUCAACACAACCAAAGUCUCCUGAUUUGAACCAGAAGAGUCCCCCAGUCCUGCGAGGAUUGGCAGCUGAACAACAGAAAAGCCCUGGACUGAGAAAAAGGCCUCCUUGAAAAAAAUUCAGUAAUUAGUAAGUUCUAAUGUUUAUAAAUAUGUUGAUAUAAUCAUCAGUUGGGUAGAAUGGGAGGGAGUUUGAAACUAUGUAGUUUCCCAAUAUUGUCUUUAUUGAUCUUUCUCUUUUUUUAAUCUCUUUCUCUUUCCUUUUCCCUUUUUUCUUUUUCUUUCUCCUUUAUGUGGUUAUGUGCAUCUUUCUUUGGAGCAACAAGUAAUUAUAGUUUUAGAAAGACUUCUAGUUAUUUUUAAGAUGAUGUAAUGAAUUUAGUUCUGUGCAUUUGAUUAGUUAAUCAAUUAAUGAAAUCAUCAAUUUUAAAUUUUAUUAUCAUUACGAUAUUGUAUU